GCCCCCACCACUAGCAAACGUGGCCAACGCCCCACGGCUAGCCCUUUCAAGGCGGCAGCGCCGGUUCGAAUCCGGUUGGGGAUACCA
rnacentral:tRNA from 1 species